rnacentral:rRNA from 1 species
CCUACGUGAGGCAGCAGUAGGGAAUCUUCCACAAUGGGCGAAAGCCUGAUGGAGCAACGCCGCGUGGGUGAAGAAGGUCUUCGGAUCGUAAAACCCUGUUGUUAGAGAAGAAAGUGCGUGAGAGUAACUGUUCACGGUUCGACGGUAUCUAACCAGAAAGCCACGGCUAACUACGUGCCAGCAGCCGCGGUAAUACGUAGGUGGCAAGCGUUAUCCGGAUUUAUUGGGUUAAAAGGGUGCGUAGGCGGGUUAUCAAGUCAGCGGUAAAAGCGGGGAGCUCAACUCCAUCCAGCCGUUGAAACUGAUGAUCUUGAGUGGGCGAGAAGUAUGCGGAAUGCGUGGUGUAGCGGUGAAAUGCAUAGAUAUCACGCAGAACUCCGAUUGCGAAGGCAGCAUACCGGCGCCCGACUGACGCUGAAGCACGAAAGCGUGGGUAUCGAACAGGAUUAGAUACCCUUGUAGUC